UUUGAAGGACUUGGAGGAGCCAGCCAGGAGAAGAAGAGGGGGAAGGACAUCACCGACCCAGACAGCACCAGACGGAGUCUUGCUCUACCGCCCAGGCUGAAGUGCAGUGGCACAAUCUCUGCUCACUGCAACCUCCAUCUCCUGAAUUCAAGCGAUUCUCCUGUCUCAGCCUCCCAUGUAGCUGAGUUUACAGGAGCCCACUACUACAACUGGAUUUUCAUUUUUUGGUUACAUGGUCUGUUUUCGUCUUCUUUGAUCUAUCUGCAAUUUGUUUUUCUUUAUGGAGAAUUAUUUGAUGGAAGAACAGGAGCUCUACCUGGCACACAGUAAAGCCUCCUCUAUCACAAGUGUGUGUUUAUGCAUCUGCCUGUGUUGUUCAGUUGACUCUGAUAUGAUGACAUCCACCCUCUGAGAGGGUUAUGAUGUUCUCUCUCACUGAGAAUUCCCAUAAGGAUGGCAUGGUAGCAGGAUUCUCUUUUGACUCUGCUUCCCAUGUUGCUCUGCAGUAUGGAACAGGGACAAGGAUGCUCUCCCAGUCUACGCACAACCACAUGUGUUGCUGUUUCAGGCACAACUGGCUUUUCAGAGAUGUGCUGCCUCCUUUUGGAGACCUCUGUGGAACUGUGGAUUUACGAUGUGAAAGUUGAUUAUGCAAAUUGGGUCUUCCUGGUCACACCCAACUAAAUCAGAGUCGAAGGAUCAGGAGGAAAAAACACUCAGGGCACAUAACGUUGCUCCAAGAAUGUAAUUCUCUGUGAGCUUGGCUGCUGAAACUCUCUGCUGUAAGCUGAAAGCGGUUUUAUCUAACAGCUGAUGAAACAACCUGCUUGUGACUCUAAGAAUAGUCUUACCCAUUGCCAUCACCUACCAAUCAAAACUUGCAAAGCUUACCAAAACCUUACUAGUGCCAAUGAACUUUGUCAAAGAGAAAUACAUAACACUUAUCUUUUUAAAAAAAUAAAACUUCCGACCUUCUCUUUAUUCUUUUGACAUACCGAAAACCACCUGGUCUGCAUGUUUGCCUGGAAUUAAAUUUUUUUUUUUUUUUUGAGACAGUCUUGCUCUGCCACCUAGGCUGUGGCAUGACUUAGUGGCAUGAUCUUAGUUCACUGCAACCUCCACCCCUAGGCUCAAACAAUUCUCCUGCUUCCGCCUCCCAAGUAGCUGGGAUUACAGGCAUGCACCACCACUCCUGGCUAUUUUUUUUUUUUUUUUUUUUUUUUUGAGAUGGAGUCUCGCUCUGUCGCCCAGGCUGGAGUGCAGUGGCGUGACCUCCGCUCACUGCAAGCUCCGCCUCCCAAUUCAUGCCAUUCUCCUGCCUCAGCCUCCCCAGUAGCUGGGACUAUAGGCGCCAGCCACCACGCCCAGCUAAUUUUUUUGUAUUUUUAGUAGAGACGGGGUUUCACCGUGUUAGCCAGGAUGGUCUUGAUUUCCUGAACUUGUGAUCUGCCCACCUCGGCCUCCCAAAGUGCUGGGAUUACAGGUGUAAGCCACCACGCCCAGCCACUCCUGGCUAAUUUUUAUAUUUUUGGUAGAGUUUCA
rnacentral:lncRNA from 1 species